GUUUGUUCAAAACUACGAAGUUCUUUACCUGGUAUCUAUGAUGAGUUUAUUUUCUACCACGUGAUGCAAAAUGUAUGCCAUUCAAUACACCAUUGUGCACAUCCAACAGAUUUGGGAGAUUAUCAGACCCUAUGACUGCUCUCUCUCACAAGAUAACUUUCUCUAGACAUGAUAUUGGUUCGGCUCCUCGACUCGCGGCAC
rnacentral:lncRNA from 1 species